rnacentral:lncRNA from 1 species
CCCAGCUAUGCAACCCAAGAGGGGGGGGUGAAUUGGGUUUCUAAAAAAUUUUAAGCCCAACAGAUUACUUAUGAAGAACAAAACAAAGACUUUAAAUCAAUAUUAAUUACCUAAAGCAGUAUUGCAAGGAUAUAAUAAAGAAAUAAGAUAAAACGAUAAAGCACACCACAAACACAAGGAUUUAUAGUGGUUCGGUGCUAACCUUGCACCUACAUCCACUCCCCAAGAUCCUACUUGGGAAUUUCAAUCCACUAUACUUUGUAUUCAACAUGAAUACAAAACGUCGGAAACUCCGACACUAGCUAUCCCAAGC